GUAACUCAUACCCGCCGGGCCUUCCACCACAGCGACAGGCUCCACUGGGGCCUGAGACAGCCGGGAAGAAGGAGACAGAGCCAGGGAGCACCCAGUGAUGCCUGCAUAGGACAAGUCAGGGUUGGACCAUCGUGACCGCUAUUAAAUGAUCGAUCUACUUGUCCUGUCCAGGAUUUUUGUCCAAAGCCGGUGGAUGUUCUCCUCCAAACGUUGAUUUCUCAGUCUGCAUCAAGGCAGUGGAUUCAGUUACAGUGCGUGUCAGAGCCCUUAGGUCAGCUGACCAGAUGGUCCUGGACGUUCCUCGAUCCCUCAUGAAAACCAGAUGAGAUUGAACCUUUGCAGCUGUGGCCCCAACGCUGUGGAACACAUUGCCCCUCUCUGUGUGGUCUGCGAAUAACCUCUUCAUUUUUAAAAUGCAUCUUAAGACCCACUUAUUCACCCUGGCAUUUGGCUGAGUAAAGUUACCACUACUGGAUUUUUUAUCGGUUUUAUUUCACUUUUUUUUGUUUUUUUUUGCCUGCUUAUUGUUGAUGACUGUUUUUACU